CUACGGGCCGCAGCAGUGGGGAAUAUUGGACAAUGGGGGAAACCCUGAUCCAGCAAUGCCGCGUGUGUGAAGAAGGCCUGCGGGUUGUAAAGCACUUUCGGUUGGGAGGACUGCUUCUAGCACUAAUAUUGUUGGAAGUUGACGUUACCUUCAGAAGAAGCACCGGCUAACUCCGUGCCAGCAGCCGCGGUAAUACGGAGGGUGCAUGCGUUAAUCGGAAUUACUGGGCGUAAAGCGCGCGUAGGCGGCUAGAUCAGUCGGGUGUGAAAGCCCCGGGCUUAACCUGGGAACUGCAUCCGAUACUGUCUAGCUUGAGUACAGGAGAGGAGAGUGGAAUUCCACAUGUAGCGGUGAAAUGCGUAGAUAUGUGGAGGAACACCAAUGGCGAAGGCAGCUCUCUGGCCUGAUACUGACGCUGAGGUGCGAAAGCGUGGGGAGCAAACAAGAUUAGAUACCCGCGUAGUC
rnacentral:rRNA from 1 species